GACAGAGGGUGCAAACGUUGCUCGGAAUCACUGGGCGUAAAGGGCGCGUAGGCGGGAAUGUAAGUCGGGCGUGAAAUCCCUAGGCUCAACCUAGGAACUGCACUCGAAACUGCGUUUCUUGAGUAUCGGAGAGGAAAGCGGAAUUCCUGGUGUAGAGGUGAAAUUCGUAGAUAUCAGGAGGAACACCAGUGGCGAAGGCGGCUUUCUGGACGGUAACUGGACGCUG
rnacentral:rRNA from 1 species